rnacentral:piRNA from 1 species
UCCUAUGCGAGAGGGUGGCCACUGAGAA